CGCUGGCGGCGUGCCUAACACAUGCAAGUCGAGCGAGGAGAUUCCCUUCGGGGAUGAACCUAGCGGCGGACGGGUGAGUAACACGUGGGCAACCUGCCUUAUAGAGGGGAAUAGCCUUCCGAAAGGAAGAUUAAUACCGCAUAACAUUACAUUUUCGCAUGAAGAAGUAAUUAAAGGAGUAAUCCGCUAUAAGAUGGGCCCGCGGCGCAUUAGCUAGUUGGUGAGGUAACGGUUCACCAAGGCGACGAUGCGUAGCCGACCUGAGAGGGUGAUCGGCCACAUUGGGACUGAGACACGGCCCAGACUCCUACGGGAGGCAGCAGUGGGGAAUAUUGCACAAUGGGGGAAACCCUGAUGCCAGCAACGCCGCGUGAGUGAUGAAGGUCUUCGGAUCGUAAAGCUCUGUCUUCAGGGACGAUAAUGACGGUACCUGAGGAGGAAGCCACGGCUAACUACGUGCCAGCCGCCGC
rnacentral:rRNA from 1 species